rnacentral:rRNA from 1 species
GACGAACGCUGGCGGCGUGCUUAACACAUGCAAGUCGAACGGUAAGGCCCUUCGGGGUACACGAGUGGCGAACGGGUGAGUAACACGUGGGUGAUCUGCCCUGCACUUCGGGAUAAGCCCGGGAAACUGGGUCUAAUACCGGAUAGGACCACUGCCUGCAUGGGUGGUGGUGGAAUGCUUUUGCGGUGUGGGAUGGGCCCGCGGCCUAUCUGCUUGUUGGUGGGGUGAUGGCCUACCAAGGCGACGACGGGUAGCCGGCCUGAGAGGGUGACCGGCCACACUGGGACUGGGAUACGGCCCAGACUCCUACGGGAGGCAGCAGUGGGGAAUAUUGCACAAUGGGCGCAAGCCUGAUGCAGCGACGCCGCGUGAGGGAUGACGGCCUUCGGGUUGUAAACCUCUUUCAGCACCGACGAAGCGCAAGUGACGGUAGGUGCAGAAGAAGGACCGGCCAACUACGUGCCAGCAGCCGCCGUAA